rnacentral:lncRNA from 1 species
AUUUAAGAUCAAGAGCAGCAGAAGGAACAAACAUGAAGGUGCUGUAUUUAGAGAAACUGUAAAGAAGAAAGAACAACUGAAUGCUAUAUUCAUAGUGAAUAUGUGGAUUCAUAUCCUGCAACAUAAGACAGGAGAGCAAAGGAGAAAGAAAUGUUUGAACACCAUGUUUCUAAUUUUUCACCCAAGGGAAUGAAUUCAGCCUCUUGUGUGCUAUAGAUGUCCAUUUCUCAAGAGCAGCUCAGCAGAGUCGAGGGAGAACUACCCACACUGGUUCACUGCAAGUCUACAUAGAGCUGAUAAGCUUCCAAGUUACACAGGAAAAAGAAGAAAGGCAAAGGCUCCCAUGUAAAGGAACAGAGAAUGACUUUAUCUAGAAGGAAAACGACGCUGGGAUUUUCAAAGCCUCUCUGUCAGUCUCAGAACCCUCUGCAGUAAGACAUCUGUUAUGGGGGAAAAAAUAAAAA